GUGUAUAGCUCAGUGGCAGAGCAUUCGACUGCAGGUCGAGAGGUCCCCGGUUCAAAUCUGGGUUCAAAUCU
rnacentral:tRNA from 1 species